CUAAUUACUGUUUGACUUUGUUUGCUAAGUACGGUUUGACUUUGUUUGCUAAUUACUGUUUUCCUUUGUUUGCUGAUUAGGAUUUGACUUUGUUUUGUUGCUAAUUACUGUGACUUUUUUUUUGCUAAUUACAUUUUGGCGGUGUUAAUGACUGACUUAGUUUGCUAAUUACAUUUUGGCGGUGUUAAUGACUGACUUAGUUUGUUAGUAUUACAAUUUUAGCAGUGUUAAUGACUGACUUAGUUUGCUAAUUACAUUUUGCCAGUGUUAAUGACUGACUUAUUAAGUUUGCUAAUUACAUUAUUACAUUUUGCCAAUGUUAAUGACUGACUUAGUUUGCUAAUUACAUUUUGCCAGGGUUAAUGACUGACUUAGUUUGCUAAUUACGUUUUGGUUGUGUUAAUGACUGACUUUGUUUGCUAAUUAAAUUUUGGCUGUAUUACUACGAAUAAAUACACAAUGACCAUUUGGAACUCUUCCUACCAAACAUGUUGUCCUUUUUUGGGCUAAUUAGUCGUAAUAGAAACUUUUUAUCAUAUUUGACAAGUACUGCCAUGUUUUUGCAAUAAAUGUUUUUUUUCCUGGAAAAAUACACAAUUAUACUGUAUUCACUUUUUUUGUGAUGCAUUUCUUUUAUGUAUGAAAAGUACUUUAUAAAUUAUUUCCACGAUUCACGAGUUCACAAUCUACAAGAAUUAACUACACACAUGAAUACAUGCAUGUUGGGUUUUUCAUUUAGAUAUACAUUCUAAUUACCAGCUGACUGUUUGGAUUACAAGUGUAACACAACAGUUUUACUAAUAUUAUUAUCACAAGAUUAAACUGCAACGCAUCAUUUGAAGUUACACAAUCUGCAUGUAAUUCUCAUUUCCAACAGCAGGAUGCGCACGCAUCACACACACACACACAGGAUGUCGUUGUGUCCAUUCAGAAACAAAGCAGCCGUUUUUCUGGGGCCAAUUAAUGUGCAAAAAGUUUUGGAAACUUCACUUUGGUUCAAGUUCUUAGCCUUUAAGGGUUCCUACCUCAAUGAAAGACUGCAUUAUUGAACGUCACGUCUGUUGGUCGUGUGCUUUUGUCGAGCGAAACUCUGAUGGUGAGCCAGAAUUGGGAUCAGCACAAUAGAAGUCAUGCUCACACACACGUGGAGGGUGUGACGUCAGCGACCGCUUCAUCUGGAAAGAAAUACAACCAUCCCUUCAAACAGAUACAACAGAAUUAAUCCAGUUUCGUAAAUUCACCAAAACGUCGCCGUGGACUUAUUGAGUCUGUUUAGCUGAUUGGAGAGCUACCUUCCGCAACUAGUGGGUCCAUGACGAUGACUUCUGUUUUGUUUGAUCAGCUGUGUUACUGACACUGUUUGGAAACAAUUAAGGUUUUCCUUGCGGACCCAGCAGUCUGUGGGGAACUCCUCCAGCAUGGGCACAAAGUACUGGAUGCAACCGUUCCAGUGGCACAGCAGGAAGAUCAUCAUGAAGAGCGAGAGCACGCGGAAGAACAGACGCACCACCUCCAGAAGCGGACCAGCCUGGACACCCGGGCCAGUCGGAUCAGGCUGAGGAUGCGCACAAACAUGAGGAUCCUCAUCAUCCUGGUGGUCUUGGAAGGGUUGUCGUCAUUGUGGUAGUGUAAGCCCUAUCACACACACACACACACACACACACACACACACACACACACACACACACAGUCAUCUUAUUACACUUUGUCAUCUUAUUUUUAGGCCCACAACAAAAAAAUAGCACUUCUGCAAUCUAAUAAUGUCCUUUAUUACCGCAAACAGCAGUAUGUAGCCGAUAGGGAAGGCGGCAAUAACGUCGGGAAUGAACCAUGUCCUCAGGUAGCUCACUCGGAUCUGCUUGAUGUCCAGAAUAGCUUCCUGAGACACACAGGAGAGCGGCAGCAUGACUCAGCACAUUUAUUUUUACAUUUUCAUAAGCUUGCAUACAAUAAAGCAGAGAUGUCCAAACAUUCCCCACA